CGUCCAGACUCCUACGGGAGGCAGCAGUGGGGAAUAUUGCACAAUGGGGGAAACCCUGAUGCAGCGACGCCGCGUGGGUGAAGAAGCGCCUCGGAGCGUAAAGCCCUGUCAGCAGGGAAGAAAAUGACGGUAACUGAAGAAGAAGCCCCGGCUAACUACGUGCCAGCAGCCGCGGUAAUACGUAGGGGGCAAGCGGUAUCCGGAUUUACUGGGUGUAAAGGGGGCGCAGACGGCGAUGCAAGCCAGGAGUGAAAGCCCGGGGCCCAACCCCGGGACUGCUCUGGAAACUGCGUCGCUGGAGUACGGGAGGGGCAGGCGGAAUUCCUGGUGUAGCGGUGAAAUGCGUAGAUAUCAGGAGGAACACCGGCGGCGAAGGCGGCCUGCUGGACCGUGACUGACGUUGAGGCUCGAGAGCGUGGGGAGCAAACAGGAUUAGAUACCCCGGUAA
rnacentral:rRNA from 1 species